UUUAUAGUUUGUUAUAGGUUACUUAGGAACUGUUAUAAAUUAAUUAAGACUGAAGAAAAGAGAAAUGAAAAGAAAAGAUCCCGUUAAAUCUAAUUACUCCUAAAGUUCAUUAAAUACAUAAAUGACCUAGGUUUUAUGAAAUUUUGCAUGGAAUUAUUAUUUGUAAUUAUUUAGUUACUUUUAUUUUAAAUUAUGCACCGCUCACCAAUUCGCUUAGCACAUUGAUUUUCCAUCGCGUAAGUACUGGAGACCAGCCAUAGCCACAGCCGCAGCAGUGGUGCUUUGACGUAGUUUUGACUGGAUCUGCCAUAGUGUGAGAGUCACCUCUGUAUUUUGUUGGUAGGGCG
rnacentral:misc_RNA from 1 species